rnacentral:rRNA from 1 species
GACGAAGGUGGCGAGCGUUGUUCGGAAUCACUGGGCAUAAAGCGCACGUAGGCGGCGGCGUAAGUCGGAUGUGAAAUCCCUCGGCCUAACCGAGGAACUGCGUCCGAUACUGCGUUGCUUGGGGACCAAAGGGGUGCAUGGAAUUUCCGGUGGAGCGGUGAAAUGCGUUGAUAUCGGAAGGAACGUCGGCGGCGAAAGCGGUGCACUGGUUGGUUACCGACGCUGAGGUGCGAAAGCCAGGGGAGCAAACGGG